ensembl:lncRNA
CGCCCUGCAGGGGCUGCACGCUUGGACUUUUUCUGCCGACAAUUAACAGCAGGGAGGCUAAUUUACGCGCUUUGACCAGGGGGCGGUGUUUUAAAACAAACCACCCCACCGGCUUCCAUACCUUUACAUUCGUGUCUUCACGUCACGCUCGCGCGUUCUUAAAUGUGUGCUAUCCAUCCGGAGCGGCUCGGUUUACCCGCCAGCAGCUACAUGUCAAACCUUUGGCAAAGUGUGCGCGCCGCCCUGCGCCACACGGUGCUGAUGGGUGGACCGAGCGCAGCGGAGCGAUAGGGCGCAUUUCUUAAUUUCCCCUUCAACGCCGCGUCCCCCCCAACCCAACCAACCAACCAACCAACCGAACCCCCCCUCCACCCUCCAGCCCUGGACACACGACGAGACCGCGGGACCGCUGUGCUUCCCGUUCACACACGAGGAUCGAUCCAAUGUAUUAUUUACGACCGAAACUUCAGCAACUUGUCCACUGGAUAUGGCUCCCGGUCUGAGGAGUGGGCGGCGGACAGGUCACCCCAAAGUAGUGGUCGGAGCCGGCGAGCCCGGCGGGUGCCCGCCGCGGAGGACGGAUGCCGGAGGAGAGGGGAGGUGUUCGAGGACCAGGUGGAGAGCCGGAGCGGCGGGGAUGCUCCCGAACUGUCUGCUGUCUGCGGGGAUGCUUUUACUUCUUGUCCGGUGCGCUUUAGCCGCAGAGGAAAAACCCACCUAUGAUGCCUCCGGCUCCUCGUCUUUGCAAAGCGACCCCACAGUCACAGCUGCUCCUGCUCAUCCAUUGGCUGACCUGUCAGUGGCGGAGGAGGUGCCUCUCUCAGUCGUCCAUCCGGAUGGUGACUCGGAGUCUGAAGGGGAGGGUUUAUCAGGGCAGCCGGCCUUUUCUUCUGUCUUAACUGUCAUGGCAGGAACCGUCAAACAUCCGGUGAGCCUUGAUCAAAGUCGAACCUUGCCGACUAUCACCAGGGACGUGACCCACACCACCCAAUGGCCUUCACAUAGUUCCAGCGAGGGCUCAGAGAUGUCCUCCUCCUCAUCGUCAUCUGCGGGGGAUAGGAUCCUCCCCGCCAGCUCAGGUCUGACAUCCACCACAUCACAGGCUGUGUCUGAACCAUCACAUGUGUCCUUUUUGGAUGUAAACAGGAAUGUCUCAUUGUUUUCAACACUGACAUCUUCUUUAUUAUCAUCAUCAGUGUCUACAUCAGCUCCAUCCACCUCCUCUUUGUUAUCAUCAGUAGUGUCUCUAUUGUCUCUACCACCUUCUGCUGGGUGGACAAACAAAGCUGCUUCUCCAUCUCAAAGUCAAAGGGUUGCGUCCAGUCCUGUCCCUCAGACUGAAACAGUAACAUUAUCACCAGCGGGGUCUCUGGGCUGGACCGACAGUUUACCAACCACUCGUUCAGCUGUAACAGCUGUUACACCAGGACCGAAAAGCACAACAACCGACUUUUCAAGCGAAACCAGCACCGAAAAGGGCAAUGAAGUGACAAAACACUCAUUUUACACACCAGCGGAUAAAAUCCAUGGAGUUAGUAGCACAUACAUCAGGAGUGCGAGCACAAAAGCAAUUAAGACACCAGCAACUAGCACACAUACAUCAUAUUCUCCUCCUAGCCAUCUUUUAGACAUUUUACAUGGACCCACUGAAACUUGGAACUUAGGUAUGGACUCUGAAUUGGCCAAUAAUCUUGAAAUUAGCACCUCAUUUCCCACCAAUCAAGAGAGUCAAGCUGUUCAAAGGCAGCAGGGAGCUUUACAAAAUCCCACAUCGGCACUGCUGUCUGCCCCUCCUAAAAUCUAUUCACUUUCCAGUCAUGUCACACAGCAGAUGUUAAGUCAAACAGCAUAUGCGGAUAGUCACACUUUUGUUCACAAAAGCGCUGGAGAUGCAAUCAUGUCGCCUCUCAAUUCAAAUGUUGUAAAUCCAACGAUAUCACCAGCAAUGGCGUCGAGACCCGGCGGAUCAUUUUUUGCAGUUUCCUCCCAGACUCCGCCAGGUAAAAUGUCUCUCUCCGAAAGUGCAGUCAGUGAGCUAACACCUAUCCGCUCUGGCACGGCGUCCUCAGAGCAUGCAUCUAAUCCUGGUGAUUUACUGAUGGCAGCGGGUCACGGCAGCCCCAGAGUUCCUGCCAUCAAUAUAAAUUACAACCAGGGAGAGAUAGCAGAAGCGGAGCUCAAAACUCUUUCCGCUCAAGCUCACCUGAAUAACUCACUUUCGCUCCUGCAGCCGAGGCCAGAGUCAACCGCUGGUUCCAUCUCCAGAACAGGCACAAUUACCUCCUCCACAUCAGAAUCAGACUCACUGCGUUUGCCAAGUGAUGGAGUCAUAAAAGUUAAAGAAUCUCUAACACAAGCAGGGUCUCCUGAGGUCGUCACUCAGGGGCCCACAGGAUGGUCGACCGGAAAAACGAUAUUUCCAUCAAACAGUAGGACAGCAUCUCAUUCUGGUUCAGCGUUACCAGUCGGGUUAACAAAGGAUGUAACCCAUAAAAACACUCGGCCAGCGUACUUAUCACCCUUAUCUCUCAGCGCAAACCACAAGAACACUGAUCAUGACAUGGGCCUGUCAACUAGUAGUGAGGUUCAUUUUUCAGAUCAAGCCAAAGCAUCAUCAUCGAUGCAAACGGCACCCUCAAAAAGCCCCUUUCAAACACAAUCUUUACUUACAUAUCCCCACGUUAAUACAGUAUCUCACCAGACAGGGUCCUCUGCCAGAAUCUCUGCUCACAUCAUGAUAUCUGAAGGAGCUGGCUAUAGCAUACCUUCCACUAUUGAGGUGGGAACAAUUGCAGGAAGCAGUAAAACAUCACCAGCCUCUGAUUUUCCAGUGACACAUGGAAAGAGCCCUGCUGAGAGCUUCCACAGAAAUACUGCAAAGAUUUCAGUUUCUCCUUUAUUUGAUCAGUUGACUCAAAUAAGCGACACUGCGUUUAACAAGAAGGAUGUUCCAUCAGUGCAGUUCACAACAGAGUUUCCAUCUUUUAUGACAACAAAGGGUUUCUUUGUGGUGACUAAAGGCUCUAGCGAAGGGUCACCCACUGAAAUCCCUUUUCCUCCGCUACCUUUUGAUGCUGCAUCAGAAAGUCUUAAAGGUCUUUCUCGUAAAGACGCUGCGACACUCAUGGGCAAGUCUACUCCAUCUUCCUGGCCUGAAAUCAUCCUCACACCGAGGACAAACUCUGCCUCUCACUCUCAGGGAUCCAUCACUAGCGCGAGAAGCCAUAAAUCAAAUUUUUAUUCAGGCAGACGAACAACCAUCCCCUCCACUGCUUCCUCUGCUGCCACUACGUCCUCAAGUGAUGGACGAAACAGCAGUGAAACAAUCAGGGCUAUUUUCAGCUUUGGCACAAAAAUAAUGGCACAGAAGACAAAGUGGAAAACCACCAAGCCACCAGUGCCUUUUCAAAGCACUGCCUCCGAAUUAGAAAACACAUCUACUGGUUUUGAUGGGGUGAAAUCUAAUUUACAAGCAGAUGGACCAUCACAUGAACACCCAAAGCUGGAAGGCGGACAAGAGCGUAAUGUGCAUAUAUUGAAUUUGACUGAUCCGACUGCAGUCGCCAGUGAUCUGUAUUCAGAUGGAGAGCAUCCCUCUUUUCCAUAUGUUAAAGGCACAUCAGGAUAUAAAGAGCAGAGUGUGAAUUUGUUCCCAGCUCAUCUCAGAUCUGCUCCUGCACAGCGAGAAGCAACUGUAAACACUGCUGCACCAUCAGGUUCAGAUGGCUUUCUGCCCCUCUCUCACAUAACUACUGCCUCUGUACCAGCUUCACAAGCUUCUUCUCUGGCGUUUUUGUAUGAGAGCAGACACAGCCCCCCGCCGGCAGAUGUUGACUCUCUUGACUCUGCAUUUGAUGCCGCUCUCACAAACAACCCUUCGCUCGAUUUCUCUGAAACUAUUGACAAUACGAAUGAUUGGACACUGAGUAAGUUAACUCUGCCAACAGAGCUGGUGCCACCAUUGUCUUCAGGGAGUUCAUCACUGUCACACGGCGGUAUCACAGCCUCCUUACAUGUGAAACCCUUCAUUUCAAUGUCUUCUUCAUUGCUGUCAUCAUUGACAUCACAUCCUGGUACAGUGUUGUUCAUUAAACCCUCCAUGCACCCAGGCACUGCAUCCUCAUCCGUGUCUGUACCCGUCACAUCUCCAUCCCCAUCACCAAGUCCCACCUUGACUGAGACGUUUGUCGUCCCUACAGAGACAGGGACGGAUGAGUUAACUGCUGGAACAUCGCGAGCAGAUGCGCUCACUUUCCCCAAAGAAAAAGUGGUCAGUCUCGCCCCCUCUCAGUCAGUCAGAAUUACCCUUUCUACUGGGCCCACCGAGAGGACAUCUCAGGUAUCACCUCUGCCCCCCGGACAGGACACCACAACAGCCUCCAUCAAGCUCACCGCCACAACUGUAGCUACCAACACCAGAACUAAAAGCCCCACCACUACCACGCCUUCCCUCAGAGUCACUAUCGGAACCAUGCAGUCUACCACCACCACAACGACCACACCACAACCCCCACCUGUGACCAGGAAAACGACGACCACCACAACCAUCAGGACUCAAACCAGCAGGAGAACGUUCACGCCGCCCGUCCCCAGAACGAGUCCUCCCAGGGGGGCCACCGCCGUCUUUCUUUCCCCUUUUACCACCACCACAGAGGCUCCGCCGCAGCAGUGCAACAUCACAGAGAGACUGUGGGUGAAAACAGGUAAACAAAACUUUUGCCACAGUCUUAAAAUCACGUUUAAUGUCAUAUCCUCUCUAACAUGUUUUGUCCAUUGUCUGUCUGGGUUUCUUCCUCUUCUGUCCCUCUGUCUGUCUCUCUAUCUCCAUAUCUCUCUUAGUUGUUUCCAUCUAUGUGAGAAGAAACAGGCUGGACAGCAUUCAAAGGCAGAACCUGCGAAGGGGACUAAGUCAGGGCCUCCGAAAAGCUCUGAAUGA